CCCCACCCCCCAAACCUCACCAAACUACCCCUCCCCCAAACCCUAAUGCCCCAAACUCCCCGACCCCAUCUCUGCCCUCUUUGGCAACCUCCAAAACUACAAUUAGUGGUUCUUUGUUUCUAUCUAGUAAUGGACUAUUUCAUUUAAAAAUCUAUCUUCUACUGAUUAGUUUUGCAGAAGUUUGAUGAUUUGAGUUUUUUUUCCUCCACUUAAUUAGUGAGUCAACUUGGAAGUAAUAUAUUGAGGUUUGUUUGAAAUUUCAUGGCAGAGAUCUCUUGAGCUUUUUAAUGGUUAAAGCCAUUUCAUUGAUUUCUCUCGAAUUCCUUCUUUCUUUAACCAUAGUUUAAAAACUUGUUGAAUCAAGGUAUCGUAUCAUUUUCAUUGCUCUUAUCAGUACUAGGGUCCCUAAUACUGCAAUGACCCUCUUGUGUUCGACAAAAUGCCAGGCUAAGCCUGCUUCCUGAGAAACUUACGAAAAUUGUCUUUGUGAAGAGGCGGAGAUUGAAUAAGCCUCAUACAUGUUUUUAGAAUGGAAGAAGAUGAUGGAGUUUAGUGUUGCGGGAGAUCUCGAGACCGUCAGUUGUCUGAUUUGAGGCUUCUAUAAGGAGAAAAUUCAAGCAUCCUUGCUUCCAGCAUGCAAGGAGUGAGUGUGCAUCUCAGGCAUUAUCAAUUGGUACAAGGUUGAAACAAGAUUGCCACAUAAAUCACAGUUUGUUGACCAGGGGAAUUAUCAUUCGCAAGGUAAGGUUGUUAUACCAGCAGUCUGUUUGACAUUAAUUUUAUUUGUCGGGCCCAAUGUUUCUAAUUAGAGGC